GCGAACGUUAGCGGCGGGCUUAACACAUGCAAGUCGAGCGAGAAAGGGCUUCGGCCUGAGUACAGCGGCGGACGGGUGAAUAACACGUAGGUAACCUUCCCUUGAGCGGGGGACAACGGUCCGAAAGGACCGCUAAUACCGCAUACGUUUCCUGGGACCUCGGUUCUGGGAAGGAAAGGCCCGCAAGGGCCACUCGAGGAGGGGCCUGCGUAGCAUCAGCUAGUUGGUGGGGUAAUGGCCUACCAAGGCGAAGACGCUUGCUGGUCUGAGAGGAUGAUCAGCCACACUGGGACUGAGACACGGCCCAGACUCCUACGGGAGGCAGCAGUGGGGAAUAUUGGACAAUGGGCGCAAGCCUGAUCCAGCCACGCCGCGUGAGUGAUGAAGGCCUUCGGGUCGUAAAGCUCUGUGGGGAGGGACGAAUGGCGCCAUGAAGAGUGGCGAUUGACGGUACCUCCUUAGCAAGCACCGGCUAACUUCGU
rnacentral:rRNA from 1 species